rnacentral:miRNA from 1 species
ACUUUUGUAGAUCAAACCGACAU